rnacentral:rRNA from 1 species
AUCAAUAAGCGGAGGAAAAGCAACUAACCAGGAUUCCCCCAGUAACGGCGAGCGAAGCGGGAAUAGCUCGAGCAGGCAAUCUCUGGUGUUAAUCGCCAGCGAAUUGUGGCCGGCAGAGGCGGAUGCACCUGACGCGACUCCGUCGAAGUUGACCUGGAAAGGCACGUCGGAGAGGGUGAUAGCCCCGUGCGUGGCGGAGUCGCGGAGGGCCGCUACCGUCUUCGGAGAGUCGGGUUGUUUGGGAGUGCAGCCCAAAGUGGGUGGUAAACUCCAUCUAAAGCCAAAUAACGGCACGAGACCGAUAGCGAACAAGUACCAUGAGGGAAAGGUGAAAAGCACUUUGGAAAGAGAGUUAAAGAGGCCGCGAAACCGUUGGGAGGGAAACGCAUGCAGCCGAACUGGCCCGCGUCGAGUUCAGGGGGCUGCGAGAAGUCGUGCGUGUAGACGUCACCUCUGGGGUCGUCUGUGCGUCCGGGCGCCUCGCAUUCCUGGUCUCUCGGCGGCAAGGGCCAGCCAAGUGCGGUGGGUGCCGGUCGAUGAGCACGCGUCGGGCAGGUAGCGCAACUGCUCUUGCAGGGGCGAACUUAUAGCCGAUCGUGCGGAGCGUCCGGUACCCACCGAGGAGAGUGGUGGCGUUUGCACCCCCGUAGCGCAGGCCGCUUGCGGCCGGGGCGCUCUCGUUCGUUGCUCUGCCGCGUCGUGUCACUGCUCGCAGUGCCCGGUGACGGUGGACGCAGCGGGUGGGAGGUCGUCCACACCUUGCGCUGUGGUCGCUUGGCUAGCCGUCGGCUGCAUUCGA